GACCGUCUCUAAGAGUCUUACCAGACGAGAACAUGGACUAUUCUUCAAAAAGAAUAGAUAACGCAUGCAAAUUAAAAGAGUUGGGGACGACUUUUUCUUCGUUAGAGAAACCUUAUUGUAUGACUAUAAAUACACCUUCUCUCCAAAAGAAAUCAAAAAUCAUUUUCUAAGACAAAUACAAAUUGACAUAGACCAAAAUAUUUGGCUUAUGAACGAUUUAUGCAUUGUAAAACUCAUUAUUUAAUUAAAAUCAAAAUGUAUCACCGCCUG